GGGGCCGUAGCUCAGCUGGGAGAGCGCUUGAAUGGCAUUCAAGAGGUCGUCGGUUCGAUCCCGAUCGGCUCCACCA
rnacentral:tRNA from 3 species